UACAGAGGUCUCAAGCGUUGUUCGGAUUCAUUGGGCGUAAAGGGUGCGCAGGCGGCGCGGUAAGUCGGGUGUGAAAUCUCGGAGCUUAACUCCGAAACUGCAUUCGAUACUGCCGUGCUUGAGGACUGGAGAGGAGACUGGAAUUUACGGUGUAGCGGUGAAAUGCGUAGAUAUCGUAAGGAAGACCAGUGGCGAAGGCGGGUCUCUGGACAGUUCCUGACGCUGAGGCACGAAGGUCAGGGGAGCGAACGGG
rnacentral:rRNA from 1 species